UGGGGAAUUUUGGACAAUGGGGGAAACCCUGAUCCAGCCAUCCCGCGUGUGCGAUGAAGGCCUUCGGGUUGUAAAGCACUUUUGGCAGGAAAGAAACGUCGCGGGUUAAUACCCCGCGAAACUGACGGUACCUGCAGAAUAAGCACCGGCUAACUACGUGCCAGCAGCCGCGGUAAUACGUAGGGUGCAAGCGUUAAUCGGAAUUACUGGGCGUAAAGCGUGCGCAGGCGGUUCGGAAAGAAAGAUGUGAAAUCCCAGAGCUUAACUUUGGAACUGCAUUUUUUAACUACCGGGCUAGAGUGUGUCAGAGGGAGGUGGAAUUCCGCGUGUAGCAGUGAAAUGCGUAGAUAUGCGGAGGAACACCGAUGGCGAAGGCAGCCUCCUGGGAUAACACUGACGCUCAUGCACGAAAGCGUGGGGAGCAAACAGGAUUAGAUACCCUGGUAGUCCACGCCCUAAACGAUGUCAACUAGCUGUUGGGGGCCUUUCGGGCCUUGGUAGCGCAGCUAACGCGUGAAGUUUGACCGCCUGGGGAGUACGGUCGCAAGAUUUAAAAACUCAAAAUGAAUUGACGGGGGUCAUAGCUGUUUUU
rnacentral:rRNA from 1 species